CCUUCUGUUGGUGAACCUGCGGAAGGAUCAUUAAUUAUGUUAAAGCGCCUUACCUUAGGGUUUCCUCUGGGGUAAGUGAUUGCUUCUACACUGUGAAAAUUUGGCUGAGAGACUCAGACUGGUCAUGGGUAGACCUAUCUGGGGUUUGAUCGAUGCCACUCCUGGUUUCAGGAGUACCCUUCAUAAUAAACCUAGAAAUUCAGUAUUAUAAAGUUUAAUAAAAAACAACUUUUAACAAUGGAUCUCUUGGUUCUCGCAUCGAUGAAGAACGUAGCAAAGUGCGAUAACUAGUGUGAAUUGCAUAUUCAGUGAAUCAUCGAGUCUUUGAACGCAGCUUGCACUCUAUGGUUUUUCUAUAGAGUACGCCUGCUUCAGUAUCAUCACAAACCCACACAUAACAUUUGUUUAUGUGGUGAUGGGUCGCAUCGCUGUUUUAUUACAGUGAGCACCUAAAAUGUGUGUGAUUUUCUGUCUGGCUUGCUAGGCAGGAAUAUUACGCUGGUCUCAGGAUCUUUUUUUUUGGUUCGCCCAGGAAGUAAAGUACAAGAGUAUAAUCCAGUAACUUUCAACUAUGAUCUGAAGUCAGGUGGGAUUACCCGCUGACUUAGCUAUAUU
rnacentral:rRNA from 1 species